rnacentral:rRNA from 1 species
CAUAUCAAUAAGCGGAGGAAAAGAAACCAACAGGGAUUGCCCUAGUAACGGCGAGUGAAGCGGCAACAGCUCAAAUUUGAAAUCUGGCUCUUUUAGGGUCCGAGUUGUAAUUUGCAGAGGGCGCUUUGGCGUUGGCAGCGGUCCAAGUUCUUUGGAACAGGACGUCACAGAGGGUGAGAAUCCCGUACGUGGUCGCUAGCCUUCGCCGUGUAAAGCCCCUUCGACGAGUCGAGUUGUUUGGGAAUGCAGCUCUAAAUGGGAGGUAAAUUUCUUCUAAAGCUAAAUACUGGCCAGAGACCGAUAGCGCACAAGUAGAGUGAUCGAAAGAUGAAAAGCACUUUGGAAAGAGAGUCAAAUAGCACGUGAAAUUGUUGAAAGGGAAGCGCUUGCAGCCAGACUUGCCUGUAGUUGCUUAUCCGGACUUUUGUCCGGUGCACUCUUCUGCGGGCAGGCCAGCAUCAGUCUAGGCGGUUGGAUAAAGGUCUCUAUCACGUACCUCCUUUCGGGGAGGCCUUAUAGGGGAGACGUCAUGCAACCAGCCUGGACUGAGGUCCGCGCAUCUGCUAGGAUGCUGGCGUAAUGGCUGUAAGCGGCCCGUCUUGAAACACGGACCAAGGAGUCUAACAUCUAUGCGAGUGUUUGGGUGUCAAGCCCAGACGCGUAAUGAAAGUGAACGGAGGUGGGAACCUUUUAGGUGCACCAUCGACCGAUCCUGAUGUCUUCGGAUGGAUUUGAGUAAGAGCAUGGCUGUUGGGACCCGAAAGAUGGUGAACUAUGCUUGAAUAGGGUGAAGCCAGAGGAAACUCUGGUGGAGGCUCGCAGCGGUUCUGACGUGCAAAUCGAUCGUCAAAUUUGGGCAUAGGGGCGAAAGACUAAUCGAAC